UUCGGAUCGCAGGCUGCAACCCGCCUGCGUGAAGUUGGAAUCGCUAGUAAUCGAGGAUCAGCAUGCCGCGGUGAAUACGUUCCCGGGCCUUGUACACACCGCCCGUCACACCAUGAGAGUCGGGAACACCCGAAGUCCGUAGCCUAACCGCAAGGGGGGCGCGGCCGAAGGUGGGUUCGAUAAUUGGGGUGAAGUCGUAACAAGGUAAC
rnacentral:rRNA from 1 species